GAAAAAGCAGCGGAAAUAGCUGACAGCCAUGGCUCAUUUGCUCCCUCCUUUCCUUUUGCCCCUGCUCGUUCUCGCUUCUCUCUCUCAGGGGACCCCUCUCUCAGCCAUACAGAGCACAAACAGUAGUAGGCUGCCCCUUCCAGUUGCUUGGUUUUAACUCCGCUUUCCUUGUUUGGGAGACACACGGGCCUCCCCCUGCCCACCUCGCGUGCUCCCUUGUCGUUCCUCGCUUCCCCGCCGCCCCCAGCCCCAGCAGUUGCCGUGCUCGCCCGAGCCAGUGAAAGGCCGUCGAGGACCAGCAGCAUGGCCGCGGAUGGGCCCCACGGAGCUCCAAGGAGACCGCCAUGGCCGCCUCGACACCACGGGGUGGAUGUGGAGGAGGAGGCCCAAAAGGUCCAUGGUGAUCUGUUGAGGGCAGCCUGAUGAUUGCCAAUGGCGACGCGGCGACGCCAUCUCGCCGAGGGAGGAGGGCAUGGCUGGAGAAGUUGGGAAUGAAGCGUCUUGGUCCGGGAGCGUAUACAUAGUAAUUUUUUUUUGCGAGUAAUAUCGAUAAUAUACCAGAUAAAUUUUCCAGUUUUUCAGUCAGAGGUUAUUUCAACCAUAUCAGUAGCUAGUUGUAAGCUAGGCAAAAUUCUUUCCGUGGCGAACUGUCAAUUCGGCUGGAACUGCAAAUUGCCUCUCCAGGAUGGGCACCAUUCAGAAUCAGAACGCGUUUGUUCUUUUGCUAUCCUA